AACGAACGCUGGCGGCAGGCUUAACACAUGCAAGUCGAACGCCCCGCAAGGGGAGUGGCGCACGGGUGAGUAACGCGUGGAUAUCUGCCUUUUGGUUCGGAAUAACCCCGGGAAACUGGGGCUAAUACUGGAUGGUUCCUACGGGAUAAAGAUUUAUCGCCAAAAGAUGAGUCCGCGUACGAUUAGCUAGUUGGUGAGGUAAUGGCUCACCAAGGCGACGAUCGUUAGCUGGACUGAGUGGACGAUCAGCCACACUGGGACUGAGACACGGCCCAGACUCCUACGGGAGGCAGCAGUGGGGAAUAUUGGACAAUGGGGACAACCCUGAUCCAGCCAUGCCGCGUGAGUGAUGAAGGCCUUCGGGUUGUAAAGCUCUUUUGGCGGGGACGAUGAUGGCGGUACCCGCAGAAUAAGCCCCGGCUAACUUCGUGCCAGCAGCCGCAGUAAGAC
rnacentral:rRNA from 1 species